rnacentral:rRNA from 1 species
CCUACGGGAGGCAGCAGGGGGGAAUAUUGCACAAUGGGGGAAACCCUGAUGCAGCGACGCCGCGUGAGUGAAGAAGUAGUUCGGGAUGUAAAGCGCUAUCAGCAGGGAAGAAAAUGACGGUACCUGACAAAGAAGCCCCGGCUAAAUACGUGCCAGCAGCCGCGGUAAUACGUCGGGGGCAAGCGUUAACAGGAUUUACUGGGUGGAAAGUGAGCGUAGGUGGCAGGGCAAGUCAGAUGUGAAAACCCGGGGCUCAACCCCGGGAGUGCAUUUGAAACUGUCCAGCUGGAGUGCAGGAGAGGUAAGCGGAAUUCCUAGUGUAGCGGUGAAAUGCAUAGAUAUUAGGAGGAACACCAGUGGCGAAGGCGGCUUACUGGACUGUAACUGACACUGAGGCUCGAAAGCGUGGGGAGCAAACAGGAUUAGAUACCCUGGUAGUC